rnacentral:rRNA from 1 species
CCUGCCCCGAGGUACGGAAUAACCGCUGGAAACGGCGGCUAAUACCGUAUGAGCCCUGAGGGGGAAAGAUUUAUCGCCUUGGGAGGGGCCCGCGUCCGAUUAGGUAGUUGGUGAGGUAAAGGCUCACCAAGCCUGCGAUCGGUAGCUGGUCUGAGAGGAUGAUCAGCCACACUGGGACUGAGACACGGCCCAGACUCCUACGGGAGGCAGCAGUGGGGAAUAUUGGACAAUGGGGGCAACCCUGAUCCAGCAAUGCUGCGUGAGUGAUGAAGGCCUUCGGGUUGUAAAGCUCUUUCACCCACGACGAUGAUGACGGUAGUGGGAGAAGAAGCCCCGGCUAACUUCGUGCCAGCAGCCGCGGUAAUACGAAGGGGGCUAGCGUUGUUCGGAGUUACUGGGCGUAAAGGGCGCGUAGGCGGCCUGAUCAGUCUGGUGUGAAAGCCCGGNGCUCAACCCCGGAAUUGCACUGGAGACGGUCAAGCUUGAGUGUGGGAGAGGAUGGUGGAAUUCCCANUGUANAGGUGAAAUUCGUAGAUAUUGGGAAGAACACCGGUGGCGAANGCGGCCAUCUGGACCAUUACUGACGCUGAGGCGCNAAAGCGUGNGGAGCAAACAGGAUUAGAUACCCUGGUAGUCCACGCCGUGAACGAUGAGUGCUANACGUCGGGGCCCUUAG